CUUCCACAUCCAACAGUUACUGAUCAACAUGAUGAUCAAUGUGUUGUGCUGUCUGUGUCACCUGAUGACUGACUCUAAGUUCAGUAUUCCCUCUCUUGUAGCUCUGCUAAAUGCUAAUGCUAAUUUUAGUUGCUCCGCCGCCGCCAUCUUGUUAGUGCUUGACUCCGCCUAACUGCCGACCAAUCCAAACACAGGCAAACAGGUGAAGCGUUUGUGGGCCGGGACUUCAGUACAUUCCGGUUUAAUAACUGUGUCGCGCAUACAGACUUGUUAGCAUCGUUAGCACAGCCGGGCGUCUUGCCGGAAGGCUAACCAGGGCUAACUAGCUAGUUAACAAGCUAAGCUAACAAGUCAGGUAGGAUGAGCACAGACGCCGAUACCUACGGAUUAGAGCUAACAUGUAAAUAAUAUGAUGCUGGAGUUUCACUCACCUCUAAAAGCAGGAGCACAGACUUCCGUACAACAAGCGGGAUUAUUAGUCCGUUACAUCCGUGUGAAAUCCUCCAGGGCACCGACAACACAAACACGGCCGAGGUCACGUUCAAGGACCGGGCAGACAGCUCAGACUGCACCCACCUGGCACUCAGGUGGAGACUCAGCCUCGCUGGCUGUUAUGAGCUGUGAUCCGGAGCAGCGGGGAGGACGGACUCCCCGAAACACAUCAGACGGCGUGAUGUUGGUGCCGCAUCCAGCAGCGACACAUCAAAGACGCAGUUCAUAUAUCUGCUGAAUCUGGAUCACACAGGCUGCUGUUCCCUGAAUAUUCAUCCGUUCACCGUGCGUCUUCCUCCAGGGUCAGAGGGCGGAGGGUCUCAACUCCUCUGACAGUUCACUACCUUAGUACCACUCAAGGGUUUUCACCUCAGCUGCUGAAGGUCCAAGAAAACCUGCUGAGAUGUGCGUGUAGUGAAGAUAUUUAUAGGUUUGUUAGAUAUUUAAGGUCCGUUAAAUGAAACCAGUUUGCUUCUAUUAAUGGAAGAAGAGGAGAAAAUAAAAGAAAGUAGAAUCUUCUCCUUGAGGUCGUAUCCCUCCGCCACUCGGACUAGUUCCAGGUUACGUCCGUUUAUCCAAGGUCAUAUAAAACUUGAACCAUUUGUGAGAAAUUUUGUCAUAAUUGCUGUGAUUUGUGAGGUCACACUGAUCUUGACCUUUGACCUUUGACCACCAAAAUCUAAUCAGUUCAUCCUUGAGUAGAAGUGAAGGUUUGUGCCACAGAAGGAGGGUUCAGGUAUGAUGCAGAUGUAAGAGAAUAAGAUGCGUUUAAUAUUUUUACAUCUUCAGUUUAUGAUGAGAAAUAUUAAAACGCUUUUUGUUUUAUAUUUUGUUGGAGUGGAGCUGAGCGAGGGAGAGAAGAAGAAGAAGAGCAUGAGAACUGAGUGAUCUGGAGUACAGCAGAUAAAACAGUCCAUGCUGUUCAUCCUGUGAUGCUGUUCCUUAAAGAAAUGAUAAAUCAUCAGAGUAAAUGUUCCUCUGUGGAUCCACGUCUGCUCAGUCAGAGCAGCGCAGAUUAUUAUGGUCUGGAUUUAAAAUGUAGAUUCAUCAUUUCAACAUUAAAUCUAUGAACUUCAUGUGAAUUAAAAUAGUGACAUCAGAAAAGUUUUGCCUCCGUAGUGAAGAUGAGUCUCUCUCUGAAUGUGUUGUGUUUCCAGAAGAACAAUGAGAGUCACAAUAUGAUGCAGGCUCCUGAUGAUUGUUUCCUGGGCAACGAUCAUGUUUUCACCACAUGAAGUACAUGAUACAGUGAAUGGAGCGCGUAUCUGCUGUGAAUGGGGAGAAAAUUACAUGAUGUAAUGACAAUGUUUACGAUGUGUGGCUCCGCCCCUCGUCUGAAUAGUUCAUAUAAAAACACAGAAGCUUUUCAAAGUUAAUCUGGUGGAUUUGUCUUUGUUCAGUUUAGUACCUUCCUCAGCCACUAGAAGGCAGGAGGUUAUUUCCUGAAGCUCAGAGUCCACACAGAAACCCAGAGAGGAAACCAGGAAGUAAAUACCAGAGAAUAAUUAAAUCCAGAUAAAUCAGAUGUUUAAAACUUGUCAUCUCACCUUUUUCAAACGGAGACGGUAUUCGGGAUCAUUACGAAACAUCAGUUCUGCUUCCUGUUCAUUUGUCACUGUACUAAUUGCUGUCCACAUUGCCAGUCAAUUAAUUCAACUUAAUUAUAGCUCCAUUUGCAAAAGCCUAAUUGACACGUGGAUCUGUCGGCUGAACGGGCAAUUAGAGAGGAGAUGCAUGAAAUAAAAUGAUGGCGAGAUCUUAAUGAUUUAAUCAAAUAUAAUAAUUAAUUACAGGAAGGAAUGAGAAGGUCUGAAACUACAGGGUGAGAUUGUUAUAAGAGAAAAGGAAACACAAGAUGUUAAACCUUUAAUCUACCAGCAAAUCACAGAGGAUAUAUGUUUCAUUUUACAUUGAAGAAUGACUGGAUGAAUUUAUCAUCCGUUCAUCAUUUGCUUGGUCAAAGAAACAGGUAGAUAAAUGAAUGAAGGAAUGAAUCAGUAGGUGGAUGGAUCAAUUAAUUAAUUAAUGAGCCAGUUGGUGAAUGAAUGAAUGAAUAUCAGGCUGUCUCGCAGUAUAGACCUAUGGAGGGUGAGAGACUGUGGUGCAGAACUUCAGUGUGUUUUUGUAUUAAUUUUAGACACCCCCCCCCCCCCCCCCCCCGUCUCCUCAUUUGCAAUAAUUGCUGAUGUUCAACAUCCCUUCACGGCCACUGAUCAAUAGUUUAUCGGUUCUCUCCGGGGAGUCGCCGCCUUUGAUUCUGCUCACAGCUCUGAAGAUUGGCCCCCGUACAAACCGGCCCCGCUGAGCUCCGAGGGCCCGGGCUCGACUCGCUCCGAGCCCCGGCGGCUGCGGGCUUCAGAGGACCCCUGCUGAGAGGGGCCCCAGGGCUGAGGGCCCCUCCAUCUUAUCAGCACAGAGUAAUUCUCUGCACAGCAGGAAGAGGCUGCUUCUGUUAAAGCUGCAGCUGGUGGAGGGGAAACACAAGUGCUGCACACAGCAGCAUUUACAGCAUCUGCAGAGGAUUCACACACUGAUUCACACACUAAUAAAUCCAUUAAAUGUUUGUCUAUAUAAUAAUAUAAUAAUAAUAUAUUCAGGUCAAAGUGAUGUAAGACAGAGAAAGGCUGAUUCUUCCUCACAGAACAGCUACAGAAUUAUGUGUGUAUAUAUAUAUAUAUAUAUAUAUAUAUAUAUAUUGUUUAUGUAAAGGAGACGCUCUUGGAAUUUCAUUAGGAGCUCAUCAGUUAAAAUGGAGAGUUUUAUUGUCUUUAAACCUUCCAUUACAAAGGUUUAGUACGUCCCCCUUUAAAUCCAGCUCAGUGUCCUGGAUGCUUCGUUCAUAUAUUUCAACAUCACAAAAUAAACUGUAAUAACAAUAUUAAAAUAGCUUUAAAACAAGGAAUAAAAAUGAGGAGACAGUGGUAAAAGUAAUGACAUUAAAACAUAUGUCCUAUGAUCAGAGAGAUGGUUCCAUAGAGAAGUUAUAGACACAGACGGCAGGUCUUUUAAAUCAGACGUCCACAGAGAGGGUGUGAUACCUGUCUCUUAUACUACUGGAAAUGUCCUGGAAAAGUCCUGGAAAGACCCUGGAAAAUGAUCUGUAGAAGUGUGGGGAACCAUGUUUCUCUACUCUUUUUUCCUUGUAUCUUUAAAAUGUGCAACACUUGUCUUCCUGACGUGUUGUUGAUGAUAUUUGGUUGUAUAUUAAAAACUCUGUGGCUCCUUUGGGACCUUCACUGAUAUAAAAAUGGUCAAAUAUCAUUUAAAUAAAACUCUGGAUCCUUUAAAAUGA